GAUGGUGCAUCGAUUUAGACAACUGGAUGCAAAGCUCUCUGAUUUGAAAGGCCUUCUGAAAGAGAUUUCUAGCAAAAUCAAAUGAACGCAGCUGAAAUCCAAGAGCAGCUGCCUGAGCAGGGUAGCAGUUCCAAGGAGUGAUUUCUCGGAGCUGGCGGUGACCACCAAGCAGGCAGUGACUGAUCCCCCAGAGUGGCAGUGGCUCGGCAGGAGUCACUACGGUUUUCUUGCUAUUUUUACUCUUUUUUUUUGACAAAACAGCGCUUUGUGCUUGUUGCAAGGUGAUGAUAAAGCAUGGGAUGAUUGUCCAUGUGCUUGCAGGACUCCCAUGUUACCCAAACUCUCCUUUUUCUCAUCCUCCCCCAAGUCCAGUGGCAGCAAUUAGUCCUUGUCAGCUGCUGUUACAAAGCACUCCUAAUUCCCAGAGUUCUGCUGCUAUGGCCAAAAUCACUUUGCUUUUCCAUUUCACUCAGAGGGGCCUGGUUUUGGGUUUCCUUUAGCCACUAAUUGCUUGUCAUAAGGAAUCAAUGUCCCUUCCCAUUGCUUUGUGUCGUAGCCAGAUGUAGGUUGUUCCUUGCAUGCUCUGUCUGUCAGACCUGCUGGAGUCUGCAAUACUGACGUGCCAGAACACAGUGCAUUUCAGCAUCAUCCCCUCCGAGGAAAACCUUUGGUCCAACCCUGUACCCACCUUUUGGACUGCACAUGAACACUGUGGAGUUCUUCCUGCUCUCCCUGGCCUGUGCAGCAGUGUAGAAGCUCAGCUAUUACAACCCUAGACUAUGGGAGAGACUUUAAUUCAUCUAGGAAGUGUUUGCUUGUUGCUUGUUUCCUUUGUGGUAAUUUGUGUGCUGGGAGCCUUGCAAUUCAUUUGGCUUUGGCAAGCAUCUGUUUGCUGAUGGUUGUGUUUGGAAAUGGGGAAGAGCUUGUGGGCCAGCUCUUGAUAUUGCACUGCUUCCUAUGGGGAGAUGGCUCUUUGUGCUUUCUGUCUAAAGGAGCAGCUGAGUUUUGUCUGCUUUUGUUCAGUGUAACUGGGUGAUAUUUAUAUCCUCAUUAUGUUAUCAGAAAGGUUACUGCUCUGUCCUUGCUGCACCUCCUGACCUGACUGUACUGUGCUGUGCAUUACAUGAUCCUGAGGCCUCCAGCACUACCAAUAGCAGUGUUACUUGUUCACAUGGGACAAUAUUGGUGUAUUCCUGCUCAAAAGUUUCCAAAGGACCAGGUUUUCAUUGACUCCCCUGGCAGUUAGCAUGCAUCCUAAAUUUUUGAGAUAAGUUUCCUUUCUAGAAACUGUUUUUCCCCACAUCAUUUGUAUGCCUUGGAUGUAAAGACUGUGCUUUUAGUUCAUUCCUUUCUUAUCUAAAACCUGCUGUGUAUUUGCCCGUGGCUCCAGCAAUCUGUUCUGUUGUGAGUUGUUGAAUGUAACUGUGAACUGUGUUCUGUAAACUCUAAAUCUGGGAGUCUGCCCCUUGCCCAGUGCUGCAGCCUGUGGGACAGGCAGCUCCCUCUGUUGCUCCCUCUGGCAGCUCUCCAACUGACCCUCUGGGCCAGACUGUGGGACUUGAUAAGGGAA